GAUGAACGCUGGCGGCGUGCCUAAUACAUGCAAGUCGAGCGAACGGACGAGAAGCUUGCUUCUCUGAUGUUAGCGGCGGACGGGUGAGUAACACGUGGGCAACCUACCUAUAAGACUGGGAUAACUUCGGGAAACCGAAGCUAAUACCGGAUGAUAUUUUGAACCGCAUGGUUCAAAAGUGAAAGACGGUCUUGCUGUCACUUAUAGAUGGAUCCGCGCUGCAUUAGCUAGUUGGUAAGGUAACGGCUUACCAAGGCAACGAUGCAUAGCCGACCUGAGAGGGUGAUCGGCCACACUGGAACUGAGACACGGUCCAGACUCCUACGGGAGGCAGCAGUAGGGAAUCUUCCGCAAUGGGCGAAAGCCUGACGGAGCAACGCCGCGUGAGUGAUGAAGGUCUUCGGAUCGUAAAACUCUGUUAUUAGGGAAGAACAUAUGUGUAAGUAACUGUGCACAUCUUGACGGUACCUAAUCAGAAAGCCACGGCUAACUACGUG
rnacentral:rRNA from 1 species